rnacentral:rRNA from 1 species
UACAGAGGUCCCAAGCGUUGUUCGGAUUCACUGGGCGUAAAGGGUGCGUAGGCGGUCGGGUAAGUCUGAUGUGAAAUCUCCAAGCUCAACUUGGAAAUGGCAUCGGAUACUAUUCGGCUCGAGGAAUGGAGGGGAGACUGGAAUACUUGGUGUAGCAGUGAAAUGCGUAGAUAUCAAGUGGAACACCAGUGGCGAAGGCGGCACUCUGGGCCGGAACUGACGCUGAGGAGCGAAAGCGUGGGGAGCGAACAGG